AGGGUGACAGGGGCCUAGUAGGGGAACGUGGGAGAAAAGGAGAGAGAGGAGAACAUGGAAUGCCUGGACAAACAGGAGUCAAUGAAAAACCAGGAGAGAAGGGAGAGCCCGGCCUAUCUUGAGACAAGGUGAUCAGAAUAAUCCGGGAA